rnacentral:lncRNA from 1 species
AGACAAAAGCACUUGUACACCGCUUGGCCCGAGAUGUCAAACGGCUCGUGACUUGCCACGUUAAUCUCGUGACCAGAGUUGCUGCUGUAGCCAUGUGUGAGGGAUUAUGCUCCUCUCAAUCCGUCCUCAUCCUGCAGCUCAACCUCACACCUGAAGGAGUGGGCUCUCCACUUUCACUCUGCUGCAGGUAGUGACCCGUCUUCUCGUUGGUGCACAGCACCCACAGCCAGUGAGCAGAAGAGCGGCUCACAUCUUCUGAUUCCUUUCUUCUUCUUCUUCUUUCUUCCCCACCGCUGGAUUAGAGAGCAGCUCGAGGAUGUUCUCCUGCCCGUCUCCUGCGUCAGGAGGCAGGUAACUGGGAUUACGAGCGGCGGCGAUGUUCCUGCUCAGGAAGGAGGUCUCAGCGACAUGAUCCCUGGAAAGAAUCGGCAUGACAUGAACGCGUGGUGAAAGUCCAACCGCUGGAGAACCGACCGGAGAGACGACGCUGGAGCGGACAUGGGGUGAGCGACAUGCUUCGCCCACUACUGUUCCGCUGGCCAGGAAGGAACCCACGUUCUCAAAAUGUAUCCGUUGAAUUGUUCAUGGAUCUUAGCUGGAAAAUGAAUCAGGCAUAUUGAAAAGACGGACAUCCUGGGAGUUAGUGCAAUGUGGGGCAGCUUGUUUUGAAAUUGAAGGCGCCUGUUGGGCCUUGGCUGGGUUUCCCGGUUGUUUCUUCCAUACACGUGUUCACAGAUUGGUAACUCUGGGCCCGUUUGGCCUGUAAACAUGUCACACAUAGAAAGCACGGGAGCUGCAGUUCUUCUGGAUUGACAGUACCACGACAUGUUGUCACUUGGAAUCUCGACUGUGUCAAGGCUUUCACGAACUCAGUGACUUGGAGGAAGAGAGCGAUUAAGCGUGAGAGCAGAGGAAGGGAAGACUGUGGAGAUCCUAGGUAACAGGCGACCGAGCUCCCCAGUUCACUUGUGUUUUGUUCACGGGGUCCAGUGGGGAAGGGAUGUCGAUGUGCCAUCCAGCGGCUAACGCAUCCGGCAUCUGUGUAUUCACUGCAUGUCAUAGGAAAUAUACCCCUGAGCAUCGGUUGAUCACCCGGUGACACUAGUGCGCUGUGGUCUACAAUGAUGACCAUGCACAUUCAAGUCUUCUAAUAAUCGUGAGCACCAUUCACUCGUCAAACUUUCACCGCAAUUCGGCCGCGGACAUGUGUUCAAUGGUGGUGGUGUGAAAGAGACGAGAGAGGUUCAGCGGGCCGUUCACGGAGCUUUCUGCUAAUCC